GAACUGAAGAGUUUGAUCCUGGCUCAGAUUGAACGCUGGCGGAAUGCUUUACACAUGCAAGUCGAGCGGCAGCGCGGGGCAACCUGGCGGCGAGCGGCGAACGGGUGAGUAAUGCAUCGGAACAUGUCCAUGUCGUGGGGGAUAGCCCGGCGAAAGCCGGAUUAAUACCGCAUAAGCCCGAGAGGGGAAAGCAGGGGACCGCAAGGCCUUGCGCGAUUGGGUUGGCCGAUGUCCGAUUAGCUUGUUGGUGAGGUAAAGGCUUACCAAGGCGAUGAUCGGUAGCUGGUCUGAGAGGAUGAUCAGCCACACUGGGACCGAGACACGGCCCAGACUCCUACGGGAGGCAGCAGUGGGGAAUUUUGGACAAUGGGGGAAACCCUGAUCCAGCCAUUCCGCGUGAGUGAAGAAGGCCUUCGGGUUGUAAAGCUCUUUUGUCCGGAACGAAACGGUCGUGGUGAAUAUCCGCGACUACUGACGGUACCGGAAGAAUAAGCACCGGCUAACUACGUGCCAGCAGCCGCGGUAAUACGUAGGGUGCAAGCGUUAAUCGGAAUUACUGGGCGUAAAGCGUGCGCAGGCGGACUUUUAAGCCAGAUGUGAAAGCCCCGGGCUUAACCUGGGAAUGGCAUUUGGGACUGCAAGGCUUGAGUAUGGCAGAGGGGGCUAGAAUUCCUGGUGUAGCAGUGAAAUGCGUAGAUAUCAGGAGGAAUACCGAUGGCGAAGGCAGGCCCCUGGGUUAAUACUGACGCUCAUGCACGAAAGCGUGGGGAGCAAACAGGAUUAGAUACCCUGGUAGUCCACGCCCUAAACGAUGUCGACUGGUUGUUGGGGGUUUGACACUCUCAGUAACGAAGCUAACGCGUGAAGUCGACCGCCUGGGGAGUACGGCCGCAAGGUUAAAACUCAAAGGAAUUGACGGGGACCCGCACAAGCGGUGGAUUAUGUGGAUUAAUUCGAUGCAACGCGAAAACCUUACCUACCCUUGACAUGUCCUGAGGCUCCAGAGAUGGGGGUGUGCCCGAAAGGGAACGGGAACACAGGUGCUGCAUGGCUGUCGUCAGCUCGUGUCGUGAGAUGUUGGGUUAAGUCCCGCAACGAGCGCAACCCUUGUCAUUAGUUGCUACAUUCAGUUGGGCACUCUAAUGAGACUGCCGGUGACAAACCGGAGGAAGGUGGGGAUGACGUCAAGUCCUCAUGGCCCUUAUGGGUAGGGCUUCACACGUAAUACAAUGGCGCAUACAGAGGGUUGCGAAACCGCGAGGUGGAGCCAAUCCCAGAAAGUGCGUCGUAGUCCGGAUCGCAGUCUGCAACUCGACUGCGUGAAGUCGGAAUCGCUAGUAAUCGCGGAUCAGCAUGUCGCGGUGAAUACGUUCCCGGGUCUUGUACACACCGCCCGUCACACCAUGGGAGUGGGUUUCACCAGAAGCCGGUAGCCUAACCGCAAGGGGGCGCCGACCACGGUGAGAUUCGUGACUGGGGUGAAGUCGUAACAAGGUAGCCGUAUCGGAAGGUGCGGCUGGAUCACCUCCUUU
rnacentral:rRNA from 1 species